UUUUACCCUUAAUGAGAAACUUUUAUUUAGUGGAUUAAUUCUGAUAAGUGAAUUCCACCGUCUGUCAUUGGAAAACAAUCUCACAUUAUGUGUUUUUUUAAUUGCAUUAUUACAUCACUAAAAUACCAAAAAUACAUUAGUCACUUUACAUGCAUUGUUAGUUAAUUAAAUAGUCAAUUGUUAAAUUAAAAUAGGUAAGUAGGUUAAUUUUGCAAAUUAGUUUGAAUUAGGUGUGUUAAAUAAAAAUGGUUAAAAUUGAAAGUUAAAGGGAAGGAAGAAAGAAAGGAAAAUGGGUUGCUAUGUUGACAUUCCAAUUGGGCCAAACACUUCAGCAGCUCAGUCUAUAAAAUCCACGGCCAAUUCACCCCAGACCCGGUCCACUUCGCCUGGUCUCCAAAAGACUACCAAACGACCCCGUUUUGGACCAGGGCAAUCUCAGCCAUCCUUCAAACCCCAUCCAACGGCCCUGAAUUAACCCCCAUUUUAUAUAAAACUCUCUUAAACCAGCCCCGCCAAAGACUCUCUCACACGCCCAAACGCCUCUCAUCUAUCCUCACUGUGUAUCAGCCGUUUGCCGCCGCCGAAAAUCGUCCACGGCGGCGGCCAACCUCUAAACAUCCCCAAAAUUUCAAAUACAACCUCCUCCUCCUCCUCUUUCACAAUCUCUAGCUAUUUUCUUCUAAAAACCCCUUAAGCAUCACGAAUAGUAGAUCUAAGAAGGCCGGAAAAAACCCUAAAUCUGUCCUUUUCUGAUUUCUCCUCAAUCUCGGCCCGUUUGAACUCGAAACCUACAUCAAUUGAUUGCUCUUGAUUAGAGCGAUCAAUUGAUGUUAGUAUUGGUUCAUUUCACGGCCACCAGAAUCUGGUCCCCCAUAUUGCUUCGAUUGUUUUCUCCGACUCGUUGGAUUUUCUGUGUUAAACGCCGUCUGAAUUAGAAGUAUGCACAGCUGUUUCUCUGGGCUAAUUGAAGCAGCCACUUAUGGAGGGUUUCAAAUCACAAUUUGAUGUACUAAUUUAGCUUUGUAAUUCUGAAAAUGAUCAGUGUUGAUGACUGAGAAUAGUUUAUAGUUAUUUUCAUUUGGUAAUAAUGUGUGUGAGUUAUAUGAAAAAUAAUGGAGUUUUAGAUGGCAUGAAAACUCGUUGGUUUGAACAGUAGUUAAUAUCAAAAUUCUUUUUAAUUUCAUGUAAUAAUGAGUUAACAAAAGGAUUUCGAGCUUUGAUAA